rnacentral:piRNA from 1 species
UAAGCUGCCUGGCACUCAGCACGCCGUGU